UCAGGGCCUCGUCACUUUUGGGUUUUGUCUCUAAAGAUCAAAAUUUUGAAUCAUCUACAAGAUUUCUGGAGGUGGGUUUGAAAUUUUUCUCGGGAAAAAAAGGAAGGGAGAAAUAGAAAGUGUGAACGUGAGAGAAUAGAAAGAAGGAGAAUUUUAGGUUUUUAGAAAGAUUUGUUUUGUUUUGUUUUGGGUUUGAGAGAAGAGAAGGGAGGAGAGGGGAGGAGGAGGAGGGUGGUGGUGAGGACUGAGGACAAGGCACGUGGAUGGUUUCAUGCAAGAUUGUGAUUCGGAGUCAAAAAAGUGUUGUGUGGGGGGUGGGGGGGUUUGUGUCAUUGUGUGUCAAGAACUUGGGGAGGAAGGUCUUGAUUCUCAGAUGGUGACAAGUUUGUGGGACUGAAAUACUUUUGGUUUAAGGUUUGGUCACAUUAUCUUUUAUAGACAAUUUUCUUUUUUGGGGAGGUGAUGUCAAUAUUGGAUUGAGACACUGUUCAUGAGGGCAAAUGUUCAUUAGGGUCUGAGCUUGUGUGUGUUUGGUGUGAUGAUGGUGUGAUUUUGGAUCAUAAUUCAUGAGCCACAAUAUCCAACUAUUUAUUGUGAUGAUUAUGAGUUCAUGAUGAAAGAUGCAAAGGGUUUUACAAAAGAAAAGAGAUUGAGAAUCGGUUUCAUAAGUGCUGAAACUUUACUCAUAGCACUAAAAUUAAGGGUAUACUCAAAAUUAUGAAAUUUUAUAAUGAUAUGUUUGUCGUGACAUCAAAAUAACGUGUACGUUAUAAAUUUUAUUUUGAGAUGAGUUUCUUUUUUAAUUUAGAUGGUGUUUUGAAAAUUGUAAUUUUUAAUUUGCUAUGUUAUUGUGUGUUGUGUUCGUCGAAACAUUAUCUAAUAAUAGACAAGCUACAAAAUGCAAUUCGUUUUGACUCAAUAAGCUCAUGUUCAUUAAAAGAACGAUCGAGUAGAGGUUGUAAACAACUCCUAUCUUUGUGAACAAACCGACUUGAAUAUGUUCAUAGUUGGCUCCUCAUCUAAAAGAUGGAUAUAAUAGUUCAUUUGAGGAUUGGGGUGGCAAGAAAAGAAACACUAUAUGGCAAAGACAGAGAGGAAGUGCACUAGAAAUAUCUCACACACACCUUCAUCACCAAGAAACAUCCUAGAGCCUAUUUGUCCAAGUAUAUCAUUUGGGGUCCAAUGCAACACUUGAUCUGAUUGGACAAGGAAAGAAGAUCAUUUGAAAUUUGAAUGCUCAACCCUUUUGUUAGCAAAGUCACAAUUAAUAAACAAACUCCAUUAGAAAAGGGUAAAGACAUAAACAAUACCCAGCAAAACUUUGUUGGGAGAUGAUGAAGCAGAAUCUUGUUUGUUUUGAGUAGUAUAUAACCAGAGAAUACAAAAUGCCCUGAGAAGCAACACUUCUUCGAGUGAGAAUGGGAGACAAAACUCUUCUACUUGAAGUUUUAUAAUUGAUAACCAAAUCAUAUAGUUAAUCCUUAGAUUAAACCAAAAACGUCAUCACGCGUUCUACUUCUUUAUUGAGAAACUUGGAAAGUUAGUUUUGAUAGACUGAAAGAUAAGAAAGGUAGUUAUGCUUGCACAACAAAAUUGACAUCCAACUCUCACUUUCUUAUGUUGUUUCUGUUAAGUUAGGCUAGAAUCUGAAGAGAAUCGCCCAGAAUCUGAGAAAAGAACAAAAGGCAGAAGAUAGCUAGAAUCACCCAGAAUCGUAAAGGUUGGUUAUAAAAUAAGAAUUCAAAGUAAAUACUAAACGCUGGACAUUAGGAGUCUUUGAACUUCAAUUAUAUUGUAUAUAGCUGCAUUAAUAUAUGACAUGCCUAUUAGUUACACCAUACCCAGUAAUGCCAACAGUGAUGGAAGCCCAUAUUAUGAGAAUAAAAGGCACAUACCACCAGUUAACUCUAAUCUUCGUUUUCUAUGAGAAGCAAGAGCUUUGAUAGUUCAUCAUCUGAUCAUCACCCUUGCGUAACCUGUACAGUAGUGUACGUCUUGCAUCCAAAAGCAGGAGCUCCUUGUAGCCUGGUAGAACUCUGUAGUUGAUCGAGUUUCGGGUUUUAUUUUGCAGGACAUGAAAAGCCUUCUUAGACCAAUGAAGGAUCUGAGCAAUGCAAGCUGGGAAGGAUGUGCAUCAUAUGCUAACUUAGGUUAUUACUUACCUUAUUCUUGUAUAUGCUACGUACUUCUAUUCUAAUUAGGUUUAUCACUUGGGAUCUUGACCGUUAGGUUUAUCACUAGGUUUCAUGCAAGAUUGUGACUUUGAGUCAAUUAGAGGUGUUGCGUACGUGGGGGAUUUGUGUUUGUGGGACUCAAAAUCUUUGAUCAAGGUUUAGUCACAUUAUCUCGAGGAUGCAUGGCAUAAUGGAAGCCCAUAUUUUUAGUUACACCAUACUCAGUAAUGCCAACAAAUUAAGAUGGGACUCAUGGGAGUCCAUAUAAUCAAAAUGAAGGGCAGCACUGCUUCUUCGUUUUGUAGUCGAGCAACUACCACCCACUUCUUCAGAUAAUACCACCAGAUAACCACUAUCUUGGCUCCGUCGCAUCGAAAAUUUCUAAUCCAAAAGCCCUAGUUUUGGAGACUUGAAGCGUGACUUUGCUGCCGGACACGAAGUUGAAAAGACCUAACUAAUGUUCUAGGGGAUACAUCCCUUGUUAAGGAUCUCUUCUUGCGAAUUCUCUACACCAAAUCUCUUAAACCGUGCCUAAAACCAAACAUGAAACAUGGCUUAAAUCACAGUCGCAUAUAAGAGGUAACUAAUUAUGCAAUGAUAACCUCACCAGAGGAACAUUUUCAGUGAAUAAUUUACAGAGAUUUUUAACAUGCAGAUCAAGAAAGGUUACGUAAUGUACGUUUAUAUACAGCACCAAUAUUGUAUAAACAGUGAAACACAAUUAGCCUAGUCAAACAAUCAAUAUCGAAUACUCCUCCAAUCCCUCAGGCGGAGAUUAAAUUAGCUACAAGCGGUUAUCUCCUUGGACGCCGGAGAAGCGGCCGCAGCGGACUCCUUCGGCGGGGAAUGUGGCAACCUCGCCGAGAAGUUCCUGAGAGGAAAGCCGCCGUCAUCCUCGUUAGGGUCCUCAUGAUCAAAGUUGAGGGCGUAACUCAGCUCGUCGUAUUUGAAGUCCCCGGAGUGCCUCCUCCCACUACUGUGGCGCCCCAUGCGGCCAAUGGCCUUGCGACACUUGUCCUUGAGCUCGGAGAACUCAUGGUGAUGGUGAGAGCGCGCCGAUUUCGGGGUGGAGAGGGAGGCGUCGGAGGGACGUAGGAGGCCUAAGUCAUCCCGGUUGUGGCCGCUGGCGCUGUAGCCAUGUGGGGUCGUGGGGGCGGUGAUGGAGCCGUGGCUGUGGUUGUGUUGGUGGUGGGAUUUAUUGUCUUUGAAGCAAGGGAGAAUACAAAGAGAAGAACGUAGCUUUUUCCUGAGGCCGCUAGGAGAAGUUGGGCCCGGCGUCACUAUCCGUAGGUCCAUUUUCCGGUCUCUAUUACCGGUGACGUUGGUGAUGGCACGGAUGCAACAGUACAAUGGUAUUUUCAAGUUGAGGGAUGGUGGCGGAUGUUGUUUUUGGUGGUGGAGUGGUGGUGGUCGUGGUUUUGAGGUGUAGUAAUUGGGAGGGUUUGGAGGAAAUGACGGGUGAAGAUUUUGUGAAGGCCCGGAUUCGUGGGGAUGCUCAGAGGUUAUCGCUCUUUCACCCAAAUUAAGCAAAAAUGUAAAUUUAAUAGUUUAUUAUGAAAAUUUAAAGUCAGAUAUGGGCAGGGCUGUAUGUUGCUUAUUAUACAAGUAACAAUUGGGCUUGUAGAUUUUUUUUCGAACAAGAAUUAGGCUUGUAGUUAAGCCCAAUUAGUUUUCACUAGGGUUUUUUUUACCUCAGUUGCUUGGAAAAUGCGCACACCUCUUAUAAAUACCUACAUCAGCCAAAGCCUUAGUUACACUGUAGAUAUUCACAGAGGCAAACUGCAAGGCAGUCGUUUUUAUCAGCCAGAUUAGGGUUCAUAUAUUUCUUUAUACAAAGAGAUGAAUGUUGAGAACAAGAGGGUUAACAAUAUGUAAAUCCCUCUCUCGCUCUCUACAGUCACUCUUUGUAUGAAGUGAUGCACUGAAUCCCUCUAUAAUCCCUUUGGGCACUUAGUUUUGCAACUGCUUGGAUCAGAUCUCACUCCAUUGUUGUAGUUACAUCGAUCAGCUGAGUUCAUGAUAGCCUUGUCGAUCUUGGUGGUUAAUUUUUUUUUUUUUUUUUUCAGUGAAUAUGAGGGUCCUUUGUAUGAGUUGUCUUGUAUAGAUCUUAUACAUGUCUAUGUCUUGUUUAAGUUCCGGCAAUCCGGUUAACGAUUUCCAGUCUCAUUUUGUUUCAUAUUAAUGUGUUAUUGAUUUCUUAAUCCUUGAACUUCUCUCAAUGCUUUUUCUGUAGAGCUACCACAUGCUAACUGAUUGCACUACAAAAGAAAUAGGAUAUUGCCAAUUGCGAUAUGUUUCAGAUGAUCUAACGUUGCAUUUGGUUUUUGGUUUCCUGAUGAUAUUUCAGUGCACUGAGGCCCAUUUGGUUGGCAGGAAACAAAAAAAAGAGAUAUGACUGGAAAUUGACUCUCUCAUAAAACUUGAAUUCAAUUACUUUGUCAAGGGUGGUAUAACUGGUAUUUCAAUUCCAUUCCCACUGUCAAAGCCACAAUUACAUAAAUUAUCCUCUCAUAAAUUUAAAUGUUGUACGUAUUUGGAAAUUAUAAAGGGGCAUUAUUGAAAAAUAUAACUUUGUAUUUCAUUAUAAUGACGUACCAAACAUUACAAUAGGAAUUAAUAUACUUGAUUCUAUCAUUUAAUUUCCAAUAUAACCCAAACACCUACAUGAAAAUACCAAAACAUAUUCCAUUCUAUAUCUGUUUGAAAAAGAAAAUAAACUCAUUUCCUAUUUUUACUUUCCUGCAUAAAUUCAUUUCCUAUUUUUACUUUCCUACGGGGCCUCGAAGCAUUUUCAAUCUCAAAGGAAAUGACGGAUGGUGGCGUGGUCGUGGUUUUAGAGGUGUAGUAAUUGGGAGGGUUUGGAGGAAAGGACGGGUGAAGAUUUUGUGAAGGCCCGGAUUCGUGGGGAUGCUCAGAGGUUGUCGCUCUUUCACCCAAAUUAAGCAAAAAUGUAAAUUUAAUAGUUUAUUAUGAAAAUUUCAAGUCAGAUAUGGGCAGGGCUGUAUGUUGCUUAUUCUACAAGUACCAAUUGGGCUCAUACUUUUUUUUUUGAACAAGAAUUGAGAUUGUAGUUAAGCCCAAUUAGUUUUGUGAUGACGUGUAUAGAAGGUAUGGAUCAGUAUCUUAUUGUUUUUGAUAGGAAAUGGAUGUGAGUAUCUUAUUGAUUAGUGUAACUGUGUAAGGUUGCCAAUUUGAUAAUGAAAUUAUGUGAUCCUGAGAAUCCUUCCUUAUUCUGCUAACAUGCUCCUACUUAAUUAGCAUCUCAAAUGAUAGUGAUCAUUGUCGGGACUACGGAUUCCUAAAUAUGUACUAAACAACUUUCACCUAAUGUCAAAAUUCGCUACCACAUAAGGAAAUAUAUAUACUAAUCUUAAAUGUGGUUUUGAUAUAAAACGUUAUACGAUAAACACGCGUUGUGUAAUAUAGUAUGGAGAGAUGAAGACUAGCUAACAAAUUAACUCAUCGUCUGAAAAUGUAUUAAUUAAGAUUUUCAUCUCUUUAUAUGGGUGAAAACUAAAAUUAACAUUUAUAUGAUUGAUACAAAGUUUAUUAUCUACCAACGGCUCCCAGUGAGAAAACACAUUUUUGAGGAUUCUAAAUGCAAAUAUCGCACUUUCACAUGCUUAGCUGCCAAAUACAAUAACAAUUUGAUGGUCUCGUAUUUAUAUAUUACCGUUUUAAUGAUAUAAAAUUGAAUACCAUUAAACGGUAAUGUUUAUUGGAUAAAAUAAAAUUCCAACCAAGAAAAGGAAAAAGAAUUAUGGAUUUACCAUAAUCUCUUCCAUCAUGAAAAUGUGAACUAUAUAUAAAACUAGCAGCUUUCCCACCAUAGAAACCAGAAUCAUGAGAAGCAAUGAAGCUGAAAACCAAGAAUUACCAGUCACACUGCAUUGUAGCACAACGGAAGGGCCUAAAUCAAUUUGGUAGGUCACGUGGCUCACUCUUGGCCUUGUGUACCCAAAUUAGUGCUUCUUUUCUGGUCAGAAUUACAACAAUUCUGAUUCUUUUAUCAGCUCAAUUGAAACUUCCUCACUCUUUCCAUUCCCUUUCCGACCUUGUUCCUCACCCACUUUUCACUUUUCUUCUCUCAGUUUCUCCCACCCAUAAUUGAGAACAGAGAGAGGAAGAGAUUGAUAGAGAGAGAGAGAGGGAGAGAGAUGAACAGAGGUUGAUGAAGAUCGACAUGAUUGAUUCAGAUAGCUAGGUUUUAGCUACCAUCAAUGGUAUGGCCCCUCUUUUGUCUCCCACCAAGCUUUCUGAAUCGUUCACAAUUGUCUUCUUCCUCUCUUAGAACAUCAUUUCAGGCAGCUAGCUUCUCAUAUCUGAAGAGGCUGGUUGUUUAUAAAUAGGAGAAAAACAUGUAUACAUAGCAUACUUCGAUUCUAACGCCGACAGCUUAUAUUUAAGUUGUUGCGGUUAAAAAGCUCGUAUAUACUCCCUGUAGUCAUAGUUACACCUUAGCUGCAAUGGCGGGGAUGCUUCCUGGUGUGGAAUGUGCUCGAAGGAGACGAGUCCAUCAGAGCAGUGAAUCACCAAAUCCGGCUAAUACAAAUGGCUGCACCAGACGCUCAUCUUUUUGCCUGUAUGCUAGCAACAAUGAAACUCACCAAACCUCAACGUUUUCUCUGGUAAUUAAUCAAUUUAACUACUGUGUCUAAUACUUGGUUUUUCCUCAUUUUUGGGUGAUUAUUUGAUUGUUACUUGUUUUUGAAUAUCAUAGCAAAGAAGCAAGCUGAAUCAGGCUUCAUACAUGGAUGAGAAGCUAGGAGUGGAAGCUAGAGUAGCCAAGGAGAGACUAGAUGAAAGAUUGAGAACGCAGAGAAAAACACAACCCAAUAGGUGAUUGAUUACUUACACCCAACUUUCAAAGCAUGUAAAUUAGUUAUCAAGCUUGGUUAGUUUUCUCAUACAAAUGAUGAAUUGGGUAUAGGCUAAAUAGCAAGGAAGGAUCAUUGAGAAGUAGUAGUGUGGAUGAUGGAAGAUGUACCAUGAUUCCUAGGGAGUUGCACAGAGAAGUGUAUGGAUCAAAGAAGACUACUACUAAGACUGGGUCAAGGAAGUUCAGCUGGGCCAAGUUGAGCUGGAAGUCAUCUGACCAAGAUGAGUGCGCUGUUUGCCUUGAGAGGUUCAUGCCAGGUGAGACCCUGGUGCAUCUGCCUUGUGCUCAUAGGUUCCAUUCUGGCUGCAUGGUCCCAUGGCUAGAGAAGAAUGCUCAUUGCCCUUGUUGCAGAAUGGGGGUAGCUUUAGUGUCCCAGUAAAUUGACUUCUCUUUAAUUUGUGUUGAUUUAUCUGUAAUGAGCUUGCAGUUGUAGGGUUGGUGUGGAUCAGGAUGUUCCUUUAUGGAUCAUUACCUUGUAGCUGUCAUAUGAUUUUGUUGAUGAAAGACUAGUGAGGAACUCUGUGUGUGAGUGAAAUUAUGUAUAUAAAUGGUCGGUAGUUUCAAGGUGCUUCAUAGUAGAGAUCAAAUGUCAUACAUAAACACAUUUUUGCAACAUCAUUCUUCACCAUGCAAAUCAAAUAUGGGGAACUGAAAAUUUGGGGAUCAAGAUUUCUUGAAAAGGUUCAAAUAUAAUUGAAGUACCAAAGCUUAAUCUAACUAAAAUGAGAGUAUAACAUCAUUUUGCAAUGUUGUUAGGUAUAAAUCAACAUAUCAGAAAAUACAUCAUUCAGUAAUUCCCAUUCCAUAACAGAAGGGACAUAUGUAGACCCUUCUUGUCUUACUUCCAUAAGACUUUAACCAUAAGAAUGAACAAAUAAUAGACAUGAUGAGUUUUGAAGGAAAUGCAAGUGAGUGAAUGAAUCUAAUUCCAUCGAGUGUCACAAUCUGUCAAUUCUUUUCCACCCACCUCCUGAAAUUGAAUUUAAGAUAAUGCACCUCGCAUGUGACUAGUGGCCCAAAGAUUUGAACAUAUGGGAAUGGGAUUGCCUUUCUGUCUUGGUCUCAAUUCCAUUUUAUCUUGCUUACUCAUUAAACCAUUCAUUUAGGUGAAUCAUCACUCUCAUAUUGUUGCUUGAUCAAAAGUUUGAAUCACUAAUUGAUAAAGAUUAUCUAUAGUUCAUCUUUUCCCUAUCAUAUCCUAAUUUGGUUAAAAGCUCGCACCUUUCUGUACUGUGAAGCUGGAGAGCACUAUUAUGUUGUUAUCAUAGGGCAAAUAUCUGCCUUGAUUGAUUUCAUUUGCUGGGUUGUGUUAGUAUAAUCAAGCUUUUAAGAUAUGUUCUGAUUACUUCUGUAUUUUUUUCUUUGUGAUUUGAGACUUAUCGAGUGAGUGAUCGAGUGAGUGAUAAACAAGAGUCUAAAACGUCUAAAAGUUUUCACAUGUAACAAAAGAUUGAGACGUAUUGCAUGAUUUUUUUAUUUUUUGGUACUGUUGGAUUUCAAAUCUGCUACAUGUACGUCCACUAAGUAGGCAAAAUCAUACAAUGCGUCUCAAACUUCUGUUUGCAAGAAAAAUGAUUACGAAAGGGUAUGAUAGUGAUAGUGAGCGAGAUUCAAAUUAGGGACAAGAAACACAAAAAUUUACCAAACCCUUUCGUAUUUACUGAUACCAUUAGGCAUUAGCUCAGGAAAACGUCUCUUUACUUUAAAUGGUGAAAAUGACAUUGCCAAUUCCCAAGCAACAAGCACCAAAACGACGACGUCUCCUCACUGCAUCUUUUCAUUAUUUUUGCCACCAAGUGGGUUUCAAAACACUCGCUUCUCUCAACGGCUAGUUCCUAGUGACCGUUUUCCUUCUCCCCAAAUUCAAAACUACCUCUCUCACUCACUAAGCUCACAAAAAACCAGAUUCACAGCUCUGGCAUCUUACACAAACCCUCGAUAUCUCUCUAACGCUUUUGCCAAUCCUUCGAAUCAUCAAGAUCCCAGAUCAGUUUCAAGAAUGGUGUACUCUUACGCACCCACCUACUACUCCUCUCUCCAUGAGUCUGUCACCUCUUUGUGCAAGACCAUCCUUCCCUUCAGCUUCAAGAAACGCCGCUUAACAUCAGCGGAACACAAGCUGUCGAAGCUUCAGUCGGAUAAUCUCAAGUGGCAGCAAGACUCUUUCCACCAGAUUCUCAACUUGAUGGGUCUUCACAAAGAAGGCAUUUUGGCUGAGACUGAGGUCUCAGCUUUUCGAUCCCAUUUGCUUGACACCCUCAUCGCUGCUCCGGCAGAGCAUGAGCAGCCGGUGAUCUUGCGAGAUAAGCUGCUUUUCUUGCAGGUAAACAAUCUAAGAUCUCUCUUUCUUUCUUUAUUCAUUGUUAAAAAUAUGCGACGGGGUAUUGUAAGUUUCAAAUUGUUCUUGUUCUUGCUGUCGCGAUCUAUUGAGAUUAACGGGGAUUAAUUAACCUUGUAGGAGCUGUUGUAUGCUAAAUGCAUAUCUGAAGAUGAGUACCAUUCUUCAAAAAGGCCAUUGCUGCAGAGAUUGGCAGUGCAAGGAGCUGAGAUUGAGGCCAGAGAUGUUAUUGUUUCUGGGGCACCAGUUAAAGAGGCGAAAGAGAAUGCAGAGGAGGAGUGGUCUGUCAUCGACUUAAAGGAUGACAAAAACUUGACAAACAAAGAGGGAUCGAAUUCGAAGAGCAAGAAAGGGAAGCAUGGCUCUGCAAUGAAGCAAAUCAAAGGAGCAGCUUCGGUUUUGGGGUUUGUCUCGCCUUACAAACAAGGGAAGAACAGAGAAGAGAGGAGCAUUUUCGAUUUGGCUAACAACUCUAAGCUUGAAACAAGCUCAAUUCUCAUGCAGGAGAGUUUGCCUCCUGUGAAAGAGAGUGGUAGCUCGGAUAGGACAAAGAGGAAACCGUUUAGGAAUUUGUUUCAGAAAGAAGGAAAUGGUGAUGAGAAUUGUGUCGAGAAAGAACAACAAACACCUUCGAAAUCGGCUAAGAAGAAAUGGGGGUUUGAUGGGUUGAAGAAGUGGAAGAGGAAUGAGUCAGAGGAUGAGACAACUCCUCUGCCUCUUAAUGAGAGAUCAGAUGAUGAAGUUCAUGUGAGGCUUGUGGCAAGCCCAAUGGGUGAAGGGCCAGACACUAAGCUUAUCAAGAGGAAGCUGCUCUCAGAUGGCUCUCCUUCUGAUUUCUUCAUUGAUAAGGUUUGACAUUGUUGAUUUGGUUUCUUAGAGUUGAUAUGAUAUUCGAGAAUUGAGCUGAAACUGAAUCUUGGUCACUUUCAUUAUGUGCAGGUUGUAGGGGACAAGAUAAAGAAGGAGCUGUCGAGAAUUCAGACCGAGCUUUGCACAGCAAAUCCAAAUCUUAAAUUUUCGUAAGCCUUUCUAUUCUACUUAUGGUGAUUUGUUGUAUAAGCAUUGGUGUUGAAAAACAAUCUUUCUUUUAUGAAUAUAUGAGUUUGAUUCAUGGAUUCAUGGACUUGAUCAGGAAUGACCAAAUUGAAGAAAUUUCGACUAAACUUCCAGUCGACAAGGCUGAGCUAAAGAAGUUCUUUCCCAAGUAAGAUCAAUUCCAAAACCAUUCACCUUUUGAGCCUAGAAUCAGCUAAAUUGUAUCACCCUUUUGAUCUCCUUUGUUUUGAUGCUUCAGGUCGUGGUGUGAUCGGUAUGGAGAUGUCGUUUUGGAUGUGGUGAAGAAAGAAUUUAAGGACCAUGUAGGGGAAAUGGAGAGCUUGAGGAAUGCAGCUAGAGAGAAACAUGGCAUGAACUCGGCUCGGUGGACAACAUUCCAAGAUGAUGAUGAAAAUUGUCACCCGAAUCUCUUUGCUAACCGAGAUCAUUCGUAUUAUGGUAGUGGCACUUCAAAGUUCCAUGAAACCAAUCCUUUCUGCGAUGAUCACAUUACUGCCAAUGGAAGCAAUGCCAGCAAGCUGAGAUCUAAACCAUCUUUUACGCAAGACCAGAACCAGAACCCCUUCUGGGUCCCUGGACAUGGCUAUUGAUAACACCCAGGCACUGCUAUAUUCUGGGUAAUGUUCUAGGGGAGCAAUGGUCUAUGUUUACAGAUUAUGAAUUUUUAUUGAGAAAAUGCUUAUGGAUUCUGUAAGAGCUCGGCUAGCCAAGUAACUCAAACUCUAUGUUUGACUUGUAAAUUAGGCGAUGUAAUUUCUCCCUGUUGCUCUCCUAAAGUAACAGGGUUGGUAAUUUAUUCAAGUGCUUCCAUUUUGUGCAGAAUGUGUGUCAAGUAUUGCUGACUAGCUUGUUGAAAGAUUCUGCAUUCUCAAGGCUCUAAGUUAAAGAAAUGUCAAGGAUGCGUAAAAUAAACAUUGAUCCAAAUAUCUAAUAUUUCUUAAUCUCUGUACAAGAACAACAAAUCCGCAUCAUGAGGAUUGACUUGGAAAAUUCAGAUGCAAGUUAGCACUGAGCAUAAAUGAGUUAGUAUUUGCCCGUGGAGGAUAAAAAGUUGUAUAUGCGAAGGACCAUCAAUAUUUACAGAUUCAUAUGAACAAUUCAUAUCAAAUAGAAGAUAUCGAGUUAGAUACAGAGCGGUCAUUCAAACCUUCACGAACAUCUCCUCGACAAAGUGGACAAACUCUGUAAGAGAAGAAGGCAGCAGGAUAAGAAACCAUGAGUAUUGACUUUCAGCAUGAAACAAGGGAAAACAAAGGAUAAUGAUGAAAAUAUAAUCAGGGGAUGGCAAUAAGCAUACCCAUGUAUCUCUUUGAGCCACUUAUCCACACAUGACAUGUGAUACUCAUGGUGGCAAGGCAGAACUCGAAUUUUGUCCCCUUCCUCAUACUCAGCGAGGCAGAUGUAGCACCUGUCAAUUAUUAACUCACCAUGAUCAAACACUGACAGAUGCAUUAUGCACACUUGACAAAUAAUAAGAAAAAAAAUCAAAUAAAUAAAACUUACUGUUCAACAUCAUCCCCAUGCUUCAAUUUGUCAAGCUUACUGUGACUCUUCAGAGGAAAUGAGUCAACAACAGAUGCUGGGGCAGGGACUGAGACCAUAGACAGUGAAAGUGACACGGGUUGGCGAUGAAUUUCAUCCAAAACCUGCAAAUUGGACCAAAAAUUGUUACAAAAUUAUGUGACGGAGCUCCAUUGAUAUUAUUCAUUUGUAUCUCCAAAGUGCAGACAGAUUAAAAAAUGUAACGUUUGAAAGGAUGUUAAACUAAAUUCUUCGAACCCGGAAGCAUAUUCGAAAGGAUUAGCAGUAUAUAGAGAUGCUCUAAGCUAAUACAAAGUACAUAACCAAAAAGUAGAAAAACACAUGGACGUGUUCCCACAGAACAGAAGCCAGACUGGAAAGCAAUGCGGUAUGAUGAGAUUGUGAAUAGCACUUCCCUAAGAAUAUAAAUUUAUCAACUUGUAAGUUUAAUUAGUGCCAUGAAUGAUGACAUCCAGAUAUAGGUACUCUAUCAAUUGACAAUAAGUGCAGUGACAACAACACAUACAUAAAUGGCUUCAACUUCCACAAUGCCUGCUCGAAACAUGUGUCAUUCAUUUAACUAGGCCAGAAAUUUACAUACUGAGGUUAAUACGCACCAGCUGAAAUAUAUACCGAGCCAUUCAACAUAAAUUGGUGAAACCGUGAAAGAGAAACAAUCUUUAUAAAUGUUUUUCACUCAUUAGUCACCAACAGUGGCACAAUCUACCUAACCAGAUGCAUGCGACCAUAGAAGACUUGGCCUUUUGAAAUGAAAGCAGACCCAAGACAAAAGUAUUUGAAGCUUCAUUGUUAUAGCCCAAAACAUGCAAGCAGCUUUUGAACUAAUAUGCAUUAUCUCAAUCUCGAGGAAUAGGAGAAACUGAAGCCUGAGGACAGAAAAUUACCUCGAAUAGAGCUUCAGCAAGCAUCACAAUUCUCGAUAUACUUGCCCGAGCACUAGACUCUUCCGUCAUCAAGAAUGAACCACAUGAGCACAUGCCUCUGGGGUGAAUCCCUGUAGGACAAGUAGUAUUGCGGUGACCAUUACCAUCAAGGCCACCACGAAGCCUUUCCCAGACCUGAAAAGAGUGUGGAACAAAAGCAUAAAUAUAAUUAUUAGGUGGGGAGCAUAAGAACAAGCUGUUAGUUACUAUAUAUAGGAUUUUCUGCCCUAUAACAAGUGUGUUUUUUUUUGGGUGACAACAUCUAUAUUUAACACGUUGUAAAGUUAUAUAGAAGUACUAUUAGUGCAUGAUUACAUAACACAAUAUAUCACUAUAAUGUUAUACAUGAACAGACACCUACAUAUCAUUCCAUAUAACACAAGGUCCCUCAAGUCAAUGGAACCAAAGUAUCAAUUUUCAGAUCCAAGUUAACUCAGAUGAUUGAAACAAUAUCACAAGAGCCUUUUAAAGUUUUAGAAGAUCACCUCAGAUCUAGAGUGUCGGCGCCGUUCACUCAAGUUAGGAGUUCUAUUCACCUGGUGACCAGAAUCAGCUCCACUCCGUUCAUCAAGAAAAUCACCACUCAAACCAAGUAGCCAUCUGUCAUGAAAUCCUAGAUCCUCAGUGUCAUCAGUAGAGAAAAGUAUGGUUGGCGAAUCGAUAAACCUUCUCGAACUGCGUCUUGAAAAUGCAUCCCAAAAAAGACGCCUACCAUUCCUUCUGGACUCACGGUUACUUGUGUCACCAUUACUCCUGGACAAAAAGUUCGAAGAAAUGCUCAUGACAUCAACAUGAACUACACUUCCAUCUUCCCGGCUUUGUUCCCUGUUGGACAUAAGGAAUCCUAAGCCAGAAGGUAUUGCCUCCCGAAGGGUAUCAUUUCCGCGUGAGGGAAAAGGUAACGGUAUAUCAGAAACAUGAACAGAAUCAGCAUCAGCAUUAGUAUUAUGGACAGCCAUUACUUCAGCCACAUGAUUCUCAACGGACAUGUUAUCAGAAUGGGAAUUCCCAAUCGUUUGUGGAGACGAACUAUUUGGACGCAUAACCACAGGACGAGCCUGAGAUGCACUCUUGUCUGCGGAGCCAGUGACUGUAUCCAUGUUAGCCGAACUAUUCACAGAGACUCGGUGGGAAGAUUGUUGUUCUUUAAACGAAGUACUAGCUGCAGUACUAUUAUCCCUACUAGAUUCAUCAUGAUUACAACCAGCACUUACCGGAUGAGAAAUGAGCUCCUUACUCCUGGACAAGCACUUCCCUUGGUUACUUGUGCCAAAACUUCUUAAACCUUCUUCAAAGUAAGUACCCUGACCUUCCGGAGCAACGCUUUGAGAUGAGGAUCCAAUUUCAGUAUUGGGGAAGGUAAACCCUGCCCCUGUACUGGAGAUCAACGAAGACACGUCUGUGGAGUUCUGAACUGGAUUAUUACCCCGAUCACAAUGCUCUACGUGUCUCACCAGGCACUCAGCUUGAUGAUCUUCCAUCUACAGGAAAGCCACCUAAGCAUAUCAGUACCCAUCAUAAUAUAUAAUACCAACUACUCAACCCAUGCAACAAAACAUUACAACACUAGCAACAUUCUAAUCUAACACUUCUCCAACCAAUUUCAGGGCCUUCCCUCAAAAUGAUCGGUAUAACAUUGUUUCUUCUUCAUUCAUGAUCAUUAAACAAUUCUAAAGACCAUAGAACACAUAAUUCGAACAAUACAUUAGAUGAUUGACCUGAUGAUCAACAAAUGGCCCUAAUUGAACUAUUUCUCAUCAGCCACAGAUAUACAAAUUAGAUAUACAAAUUCACAGAUACAUGAUAAACACAAACUCAAAUUGACCAAGCAACAACAAAACCACCAAUCACAAAGUCACCACCAGCUCAUCAAAUUCAAGAAACAAACCCCAAAUUCAUCAUUGGGUUUCUGUACCACACCAAAAAGCACCGAUCUUUACACCAAACGACCAAAACCCAAAUCAUAUAACCCAUCAAAACCCAAUAAAAAUCGAAUCUUUGAUCCAAAUUUACACAAACAAAACGAAACCCAACAAGGAAAAAGGGGGUACCUCGAGAGUGGCACGUGAGGAAGAGCCGCCGCAGACGAGAGAGGAGAGGAUGGAGCGAUUGGGUCGGGGCCGAGAUGGGCGCGAACCCAGUCGACUAGAGCUCGAACCCAUUUCAAGAAGAAGAGGGUUGAGAAAUGAAGGGGAUGAUAAUUGAAGCAGAAAGGCAAGUGAGAAAGGAAGGAAGGGUCAGAGAAAGAGAGGUGUUUGUUUAUUUCAAAUUCGAUGGUUUUGUGGACUCUACCGUAUGAUUGAGGUAAAGAAAUGCCUUUUAAUUUUUCGGUGCUUCUAAUAAACAGUUGAGAACGACUGAGACAUUUUUGUGUGUUUACUAUUAUCUAAAAUUUUGAGUGACAUUGUAAAUAAUUGGUUUAAAUAGGUAGGGGAACGAGAUUGAGAUGAAAAGGGAGAGAUAGAAUGGGAGGUUGAAACCUAAAUUCAUGCUUAAGGAUUGACUUACUAUUAUUAGAAAUAAAAUCAAUCACUAGUUAAUGAGUGAUCAAGAAUUUAGGGGAACGAUGAAAUAUAACUUGAUAUCUAAGAAAAAUUGUUAUCUUGGUGGAAAUGGUGGCAUUGGGAUCUUGUUUCAAUGCUUGAACUUUAAGUAUACAUUUUUUUUUUAUGAAGUUACAUCUCAAAUAAGAUAUGGUUUUCCAUUUUGCAUUUCUUUUUUAUGAUGAUCUCUAAAUUUGGAGCUAAAAGCUUGUGAAAACAGAAUAUAGAGGCGAGUGGACAUGAAUGUUCAAAACCAACCAGAAACAUAGAAGUGUAUGUGCAAAAACGGCAAAGUCCUUAAUGUAAAAUUUUGAAAAUACAAGACUAAGAAAAAUGUUUCGUAAUAAGUUGGAAUGGAUCAUUAAAAAUUUUAAUGUGGGCUUGGCAAUGGGGAAUGGCUAGAACUAGAACAACACCCAAGCCUAAAAUAGUGGAUCUCUAACCCAAGCUCAAUCUGGCCCAAACCUUUAUGUUUUGGUGUUACCCAGGAUGCUCUUCACAAAAUGAUAAACCUCUGCACUCGAUCGGCAAAUCUAUCACUAAUCACAUUAAGGAACAAAGAGACAAACACAUCACAAUUUGGACCGGGAUUCUUACUCAUUUGGAGUCAUAUAUAUGCCUAAAAUACGAGAUCUAUUCCACUCAACCAUAAUAUAAGCAUGCAUAAAAGCUGCAGAUAAUGUAAAAGGAACGUGUCUGGUAUAUAUUCAAGUAACACUAGACGCCAUGAAAGUAAACUUCAAAUCACCAAGGUAAAGGACAAUGGUGGCCUGAAUGCCUGAUAGUUAUUUUUCUGGCAUUAUUGCUACAGUUCUCUGUCGAUCGGAAAGGGGAGUCUGUGGUACGUACCAUUGCCAUUUCAAAAAGCUUUUGUCAUUUUACUUUUCAGUUACAUCAUACCAAAGAUUACUUACCUUUAGAAAAUGCCACUGGUGGUUACUGUGGUGGUUGUGGUUACUGUCACUGGUGUAACUGGUAGAAAAUGCCACCUAGCGUAGCUAAGAGAUCGUGUUUAGUGGAACGGGCCGGUGGAUCAGAUAUCUACAGCAUUUGAUAUCUAAUGUAUCAUCAUGAUGUGUAUAAGUACGUUUUAAGCAAGUUUAUGAUGUGUAAAGAUCAACAAUGUACUGCAGAUCGAUCUGCCGACCAGACUUUCUCUCAUUUGCUAGAGAGUUCUAAUGAUAAACCUAACACUUGUAGGUGUGGUAAGAAUAUCAGAUCACUAACUGAAAGCGCCAUAGAUAUGAAUUGUAGGUAAAACCUAACAAGAACGAACACUGAUAGAUAUGACUAGCAGUUCUAAUAUUUUCAAGAUGAGGAGGACAGGUUUCCCUCGGCCAUUGGUUGCCCGGAUAUAUCACCAUACCUAGCUUCCAUCUUUUUGCCACGUAUUGCCGGCCCCCAUACGUACUCAACCCUAUAAAUCAAACCCUUACAUUUCAGAGUUGAAUCGUUUAAGAAAAAAUGCCAGACCAUCCACCACCACCACACGGCGGCCACGGUCACGCACCACCCCCAGGUCCGGGACACCACGAGCCUCCUCCGCCCCAUGGCCAUGCUCCUCCUCCGGGGCCUCAUGCACCUCCUCCGGGACCCCAUGCACCUCCUCCGGGACCCCAUGCACCUCCUCCGGAACCCCAUGCACCUCCUCCGGGACCCCAUGCACCUCCUCAUGAUCCACACAAGCCACAUGACUGUCACCACGGUCACCACCACCCAUGAACCGAACUAGUCAUGAGGCCACGAUCGAGAAGCUAGUCUCAGCAAGUUGUUAUCUAUUUAUCUUUGUGCCUGUAAUGUGAUCUAGCUGCGGUUGUAGUUCUGAGUUGCUGGGUUUACUGGCUUUGCUCCAUUGAUCUCAUCGUUAUGUAAUGACUAAAAUAUGAGGACUAUGUAUGUAUCCAAAAGAAGGCUGAUCAUAUAUGUAUAAUAAGAAGAGUACUGGCUUUGUGGUUUAUGUAUAAUCCGCUUGUGUAAAACUUCUUCUUUUAUCCGUCUAAAUGUGAUGUAUAAUCAGAAAAUAUGGCCAGUUUGUCAUCUUGACCAACCUGAACUUACAAACUAAUUAAUUAAGUCAAUCUCCCCAAUUUCAUCAAUCUUCAUUAGGAUUUCAUCACUAGCUCAUUCCUUCACAGAUAAUUAACCAUUUGCUCGAUUGCUCUUAACAAACUGUAAUAGCCAAGAGGCAAACGCAUCCAUCUAAAUUCUAAAAAGUUAUUAACACAGGCUAGGGGUAAAUUAUCCUUUGUUCAGACCAAUCUCACAGUUGAAGCGAUGAAUUGGCUAAAACAAAAGCCUACGGGCAGAAAAACAAAGCAUCUCUAUUCGUACGGAAGAAUGACUUCCAUAUAUAGUAAGCCUUAUAGUUAUAACACCGUAAGUGUAUAAGAAUAGGAAUUCAUAAACGCAAUAAGAAGAAGACCGUGAAAGAGAUCGAAGAUUAAAGCAGGCCUUAAUGUCUUGUAUAUUCUGUACAAAAUUUCAACAGCCAGAUUUUCUCGAUGCAUUCGUCAGCUUCUGUUUGUAACCUUUCUUCUGUCAAAUCCUCCAUGGCUUUUCACGAGCAAUAAUUCUUGCAAGGUCCCAUUAACAAGCCUCACGUACGUUGUUCUUAUCUCCUUUUCCUUAGCUCACCAAGAAUUCAACUAUUACCAAGUGCAGCAACUAGUUUCUGUGAUCGAUCUACGGAAAGUUAAAGUUAUUGCUCAAAAGAGAAAGAGAAAACGGAAGUUAAAGUUCCAUGCUGCCCUAGUUCAAGUACGCACUCAGUUAUGAUCUUGUGGUUCUUACAAUGGAUGAAUGGAUGAAGCAUUACCACACAAAUACUCAGAAGAGAAAAACAAAACAACCACAGUGCACGAUUAACAUGCUAGCUAGCUUUCAUUGUGUGCAAAUAUCCUGAGCUACCAUUCCACCAAAACAAGCUAAAUAAGUUUAUCCUUGUAUGGAUAUUAUGUGAAUCGAAAUAAUUGUAUAUUUGAUUCUUAGAUAUUAUGUGGCACCUAUUACAACGAAGCAUGUGCCAUAUUCUGAAGAUAAUGUCGACACAUCUGAAUCAUCUAGAGCCCGUACCGACACCUUUCUCCUAUAAAAUCAACUCCUACUAGCUUAAACUCUUCAACAGUUCGCCACAUCAAGAACAACUUUCUUUUUGUUUAUACAAGCUAGUAGUCUCACCAAGAAUUCGAAGAUGCAUCACGGUGAUCAUCACGGCGGACCACCACACCACGGAGGAGGUCCGGGAGGAGGUCCGGGAGGUCCAGGAGGCGGCCCUCAACAUGGUCAUGGUCAUCAAGGAGCUCCGGGAGGAGGGCAUGGAGGACCAGGAGGAGGAGGGCAUGGAGGGCAAGGAGGAGGAGGACACGGAGGACCAGGAGGAGGAGGACAUGGAGGAGGAGGAGGAGGAGGACGAGGGGGGAGGAGGAGGACAUGGAGGAGGAGGAGGAGGAGGACGAGGGAGGAGGAGGAGGAGGACAUGGAGGAGGAGGAGGACGACGGAGGGCAUGGUGGUCACUGAUCAUGGCGCUAGACUACGUAUACUACUUGUGGUGUACUAGCUGGCUGAAUAAGUCUCUCUAUGUGACUUCUGUAGUAUUGUUUGUGUGUUAUCAUUUCCUAGUUGGGUCGAUCAGAUCCUAGAUAGUGAAGCUAGCUAGGGGAGUCGAUCUUGUGUUUGGAGUCUGUUAAUUAAUGUAUGUGUAUGGAUGUGUAAUAAAACCAUACUAGCUAUGUAUUUGAUUCGAGGCUUAACAUAUAUUGCAUGCAGCUAUAUAUAUAUAUAUAUAUAUAAUAUCCUUAGAUGACUAAGAACAUAAGAAACAGAGCAGUACUAUUGAUGAUUUACAAGAUUCAAUUUGUAUAAGUGAUCUUUGGCUUGUCCUAAUUAACCAUCAAGCAAAGCGCUAAGAACGAACAUAUUAUAUAUACUGCCAGAUGAUCAAGCAACUUUGCAGAGGGAUCAUGACGAAAUGUCCAUCUAGCAGCUUAAAUGCUUAAUUAGAACAAUUUUGCAAAACAAACACAAACUUGUAUAAUACGGUACCGAAAAUAUAAGUAUAACCGUUUGAAAUGUCAAGUUUAUCAAUCUUAUGAAAUCGAAGUAUCGUAAAUCGAUAAUGAUCUUCUUCAAAACUAGAACGAGAAUGUAACGUGUCUAUAUGACACUAUAAAUGUCUACGAAAUCAUGCGUUAAGAACAUAAUAUUAUAUUCCUUCGUUUUUUACUAAAGAAUAUCAUUACCGUUAAGCUUUAAUUGACAUACGUACGAUUGUACUUUGUAGUGAUACAUCUAAUUAUAUUGGUCGUGUGGUGCCCUUAGUAUAUUAAAAGGAAAAAACUAAAGAGACCAAAAGGCCCAAAGGAAACCACAGAAAUUGUCAUAAAGGUACAAGUGCAGCCCAACUUUCNNNNNNNNNNNNNNNNNNNNNNNNNNNNNNNNNNNNNNNNNNNNNNNNNNNNNNNNNNNNNNNNNNNNNNNNNNNNNNNNNNNNNNNNNNNNNNNNNNNNNNNNNNNNNNNNNNNNNNNNNNNNNNNNNNNNNNNNNNNNNNNNNNNNNNNNNNNNNNNNNNNNNGUCCUGAUCAUCACCUUCCUUGCCUAUGCUUCCUUCCACGCCUCCAGGAAGCCCCCCAGCAUCGUCAAGAGUGUUCUUGGCCCCAAACUCCUGUCCAAUUCGAGCUCUUUCGACACCGGUUGGGCUCCCUUUAAUGGCCCUGAUGGCACUCACAGGCUUGGAGAACUUGAUCUUGCAUUUCUAUCUGCAUAUUCUAUUGGAAUGUAUUUUGCAGGGCAUGUUGGUGAUAGGAUUGAUUUGAGGUUGUUUCUUGCUUAUGGGAUGUUAGGGAGUGGAGUUUUGACUUGUCUUUUCGGGUUAGGUUAUUGGUGCAAUGUGCAUAUGUUGUGGUACUUUGUGGGUGUGCAAGUUGUGUGUGGGUUGUUUCAGUCAAUAGGGUGGCCUUCUGUUGUGGCAGUUGUGGGGAAUUGGUUUAGGGUUUAGACAGCGGCCAUCACACGCCGGCCACGGUCACGCACCACCCCCAGGUCCGGGACACCACGAGCCUCCUCCGCCCCAUGGCCAUGCUCCUCCUCCGGGGCCUCAUGCACCUCCUUCGGGACCCCAUACACCUCCUCCGGAACCCCAUGCACCUCCUCCGGGACCCCAUGCACCUCCUCAUGAUCCACACAAGCCACAUGACCCGCACCACGGUCACCACCACCCAUGAACCGAACUAGUCAUGAGGGAUCACGAAGCUAGCUAGUCUCAGCAAGUUGUUAUCUAUUUCUGCCUGUAAUGUGAUCUAGCUGCGCUUGUAGUUCUGAGUUGCUGGGUUUACUGGCUUUGCUCCAUUGAUCUCAUCGUUAUGUAAUGACUAAAAUAUGAUGACUAUGUAUGUAUCCAAAAGAAGGCUGAUCAUAUAUGUAUAAUAAGAAGAGUACUGGCUUUCUGGUUUAUGUAUAAUCCGCUUGUGUAAAACUUCUUCUCUGUUAUCGGUCUAAAUGUGAUGUAUGAUCAGAAAAUAUGGUCAGUUUGUCCUCUUGACCAACCUUAACUUACAAACUAAUUAAGUCAAUCUCCCCAAUUUCAUCAAUCUUUAUUAGGAUUUCAUCACUCAUUCCUUCACAGAUAAUUAACCACACAUCCAAGCUGCAUUUGCUCGAUUGCUCUUAACAAACUGUAAUAAUUAACCAAGAGGCAAACGCAUCCAUCUAAAGUCUAAAAAUUAAGUUAUUAACACAAGGUUAAAUUAUCCAUUGUUCAGACCAAUCUCACAGUUAGAGCGAUGAAUUGGCUAAAACAAAAACCUACGGGAGAAAAAGAAAGCAUGUCUAUUCAUACGGAUGAAUGACUUCCAUAUAUAGUAAGCCUUAUAGUUAUAACACCGUAAGUGUAUAAGAAUAGGAAUUCAUAAACACAAUAAGAAGAAGAUCGUGAAAGAGAUCGAAGAUUAAAGCAGGCCUUACUGUCUUACAUAUUCUGUACAACAUUUCAACUGCUAGAUUUUCUCGAUGCAUUCGUUAGCUUCUGUUUGUAACCUUUCUUCUGUCAAAUCCUCCAUAUACGAACUCAUGGCUUUUCACGAGCAAUAAUUCUUAAAAGGUCCCAUUAACAAGCCUCAAGUACGUUGUUCUUAUCUCCUUUUCCUUAGCUCACCAAGAAUUCAACUAUUCCCAAGUGCAGCAACUAGUUUCUGUGAUCGAUCUACGCAAAGUUAAAGUUAUUGCUCAAAAGAGAAAGAGAAAACGGAAGUUAAAGUUCCAUGCUGCCCUAGUUCAAGUACGCACUCAGUUAUGACCUUGUGGUUCUUACAAUGGAUGAAGCAUUACCAAACAAAUACUCAGAAGAGAAAAACAAAACAACCACAGUGCACGAUUAACAUGCUAGCUAGCUUUCAUUGUGUGCAAAUAUCCUGAGCUACCAUUCCACCAAAACAAGCUAAAUAAGUUUAUCCUUGUAUGGAUAUUAUGUGAAUCGAAAUAAUUGUAUAUUUGAUUCUUAGAUAUUAAGUGGCACCUAUUACAACGAAGCAUGUGCCAUGCAUUCUGAAGAUCAUGUCGACACAUCUUAAUAAUCUGGAGCCCGUACCGACACCUUUCUCCUAUAAAAUCAACUCCUACUAGCUUAAACUCUUCAACAGCUCGCCACAUCAAGAACAACUUUCUUUUUGUUUAUACAAGCUAGUAGUCUCACCAAGAAUUCGAAGAUGCAGCACGGUGAUCACCAAGGAGGAGGUCCGGGAGGUCCGGGAGGUCCAGGAGGAGGUCCGGGAGGUCCAGGAGGCGGCCCUCAACAUGGUCAAGGUCAUCAAGGGGGUCCGGGAGGAGGGCAUGGAGGACCAGGAGGAGGAGGACAAGGGGACCAGGAGGAGGAGGACAAGGAGGACCAGGAGGUGGAGGACAAGGAGGACCAGGAGGAGGAGGACAAGGAGGACCAGGAGGAGGAGGAGGAGGAGGAGGAGGACAUGGUGGUCACUGAUCAUGGCUCUAGACUACGUAUACUACUUGUGGUGUACUAGCUAGCUGAAUAAAAGUCUCUAUGUGACUUCUGUGUUAUCGUUUAUGUGUUAUCAUUUCCUAGUUGGGUCGAUGAGAUCCUAGAUAGUGAAGCUAGCUAGGGGAGUCGAUCUUGUGUUUGGAGUCUGUUAAUGUAUGUGUAAUAAAACCAUACUAGUUAUGUAUUUGAUUCGUCUCUUAGGCUUAACAUUGCAUGCAGCUAUAAUAUUCUUAGAUGACUAAGAACAUAAGAAACAGAGCAGUACUGUUGGUGAUUUACAAGAUUCAAUUUGUAUAACUGAUCUUUGGCUGUCCUAAAUAACCAUCAAGCAGCAAAGCUAAGAACGAACAUAUUAUAU
rnacentral:lncRNA from 1 species